rnacentral:rRNA from 1 species
AACGAACGCUGGCGGCAGGCCUAACACAUGCAAGUCGAACGAGAAGCCACCUUCGGGUGGUGGACAGUGGCAGACGGGUGAGUAACGCGUGGGAACGUGCCUUUCGGUUCGGGAUAACCCAGGGAAACUUGGGCUAAUACCGGAUACGCCCUUCGGGGGCAAGAUUCAUUGCCGAAAGAUCGGCCCGCGUCGGAUUAGCUAGUUGGUGGGGUAAGAGCCUACCAAGGCGACGAUCCGUAGCUGGUCUGAGUGGCGGACCAGCCACCCUGUGACUUAGACACGGCCCAGACUCCUACGGGAGGCAGCAGUGGGGAAUAUUGGACAAUGGGCGCAAGCCUGAUCCAGCCAUGCCGCGUGGGUGAAGAAGGCCUUAGGGUUGUAAACCCCUUGCAGCGGGGAAGAUAAUGACGGUACCCGCAGAAGAAGUCCCGGCUAACUCCGUGCCAGCAGCCGCAGUAA